rnacentral:lncRNA from 1 species
AGCUGAGCAGGGCAGCAGUAGCAGUAAGCUCCUGAGGAGACAGAACAGGCUCUUAACUGACCUAUGGGGGUGGAAUACAGAUGCACAGCUCCAGGUAUUGUGUGCCCUCUCUCUCUCUGAUAGAUAUGGCUGUUGGCUGUAACAUUCCACAGUCUGUGUAAUGAACGUUUAUUUGGUAUUGAAUACAAAAUACAUUUUUGAACUAUGCAUUACUUGUAAAAAAAAAAAAAAGUAGCAAUCAGCAGGUUUGCUCUUUAAAUAUGGAAGUUAGUACUUAAGUUCCAAAUCAGAAAAACUUCCAAACCAAUAUAGUUUACAAUUGGGUAUACCACCAUCACAGUAUAUUAUUCAGAAACAAAUGUCAUCAAGAGUAUUUUCAGCAGUUUUUUAUUUUCUUCUGCACUUGUUAAUCACUAGCUAAUUAACUAUUAAGUUGGAGGGAAACAGCAGCUUCCUAGUAAGUUUUCAGCUAGAAGUUCUGGCCGAUGCUGCCAUCAGCAGAGCUUACACACCGUGCUUGUCUUGCUGCAGUUUUUUCUAUGCUUGAUGGCACAAGUACCUUAGAUAGUCGAGGGGGCUGCUUACCUAGAAUAUCUGAUCCACCAGUGUGGUAGAGCUGGGCUUCUCAGGAGUAGAUGCAAGUUGUUAGCAGAAAUGGUAGCUCUAGAGCAACCCCUGACCCUUUCACAGGUCUCCUAAAUAAUUGGAAAGCACAGAUAUUUACAUUAUGAUUCAUAAUAGUAACAAAAUCACAGUUACUAAGUAGCAGUGACCCUACAUUGGGGUCACUGCAAAUGUGAGGAACUGUAUUAAAGGGUCACUGCAUCAGGAAGGUUGAGAACCACUGCUCUAGAGGCGUGAAUGAAAAUCUAGGACGACUAAGGAGGAACAAUCACUGUACCUCCUGAGCUGUGUGACACUUCCAGUUCAGGGACAGUGAGGCUAUCUUGGCUUGCCUUGUAUAACACACUGGGGAGCCGGUUAGCUUUAAGGGAUUGUAAACACUUCAGUUUUAGGUGACAGAUUCUCUGGAAUAAUGUUACCACAUCUACUUCCUAGAAGUGAGGGGGUUCCAUGUUCUCUUCUUUGAUUAUAGAAGCAAUUAAAUCUCUUUGAACAAGGUAACAAAGUAUAUAGAAAACCUAGAAUUGGAAGUUUUCUGUGAUACUCCAUGAAGGCUCUUUUCUCUUAGCCAGAUGCAAAGCCUAUUUCUCAGCACUACCACAGUUAUUUGAAAUAUGCUCAAGCUUGUAACAGAGUUCCCUUCCAUGACAUAGGUACUGAACUUGCAAAAAGGAACAAAGAGGAAUGGCUUGAAUAGUCUUAAUUGUGAGACUACCUCACUGCAUUUCUAGUUCUUCUGUGGGUUCCUACAGAUCAUAUUAGUCCUGCACACAGGAUCAUUUAGCACAAUUGUAAACCCUAGCUUCAGUCUGGUCACCAAGAGCCCAUUUAUGCAGCCGUGGACUAUAUAGCCACUUCAGCUUGGCACUUGUUGUGGAAGUACAUUAGCUCUGGCCUGUCUCCUCUAUAUUGUGUUCAAGAAAAGUAACCAAACAUGAAAAACAAAUUUGUAGAUUUCAGUAUUAACUGAUCUGUUUUGGGAUGUGGGUGACAGCUUUGAUUUUCAGGUUACCUUAUGAACACAUUUGCUAGCAUGGGAAAAGUUCUUCACUGUCCUUGGAGAGAACUGUAUGCCUUACAGUAUUGGUACUAGCCCUGGAGACAGACCUGGAUGAGCAGUUCCAUCAUCCUGUUUGCAGGGGUGAACUACAAAUUUCAUCUUUGUAUCUUUUGGUUAACUUCUUGGCUAAGGUAACAGAUUUAUAUUUAGGACAAUGAAGUCACUUUUCCAUUUUCUGCAUCCCAACACCCCCAGCUCACAUGUUGAUAAGCAGCAUAGUAUCAACACAGUACACUUUCCUUCUACUGGAGGAUGCUCCUCCUGCCCUUACGUCUGUAGGCACACAGCUUGAGGAGCAGUAGGUGAGCGGGUGAGGAUGAUGCCUGAGUUCGGCUGUGGCUGAGCUGUGGGCGGCUUGGCAGCACCUCCCUUUCUUUUGGCCUCCAAGGUGCUGAUCUGUAAGCCCCCAUGUUCGUCAGCAUGGGGCUUUCUCUCCAAGUCCUCAGCAGUACCUGCACCAGGUACUGUUCACAAGGAUCGAGCGUUCCCCUUUGCCAUCUCAGUCUGUCACGUCAGCAUUUCCCUGUAUAAGACUCUUGGCCUCUAAGCAGUUGUCCGAAUCUGAAUAAUUAUACACACUUUCUUCAUAUUUUGAUUCAUCUUUGCAAACAUCUACCUCCUUGUCUUUUGUCUGUGAAUGACAGAUUAUAAGAGGAGGGGGAGUUAUUUUUAUCAUGUUUCAAAAGAUCUAUGCCAAGAUUUCUUUUGCACACCAAGAACUGAAGCUUGGAGCACUUCUCAGGCCAGUUCUAGUGCCUUACACUCCAGGAUGUCCAGCAUCGGACUGAGGUAGGAUGAAAGCAGGAUGCUCGGUCUGUAGGUUCUCAUCCCCCACAUCAGCCCUCUUUGUUCAAAAUAACCUUGGUGUGGGGUAAAAAGUUCUGCAGCUCAUUUCACUGAAAGCUUUUCUAGCGCAUACUUAACUCUCUGGUCAAUGCUUAAGAUAUAUAAGACACCAGUGCAAUUGCUAUAAAGAUCUUUAAAUUCGCAUUUAGUGUGUGGUUCUGCUCAGCUCCCUUCUGUUCCUGUGUAGUAUCAGCAUGUGAUCCUGAGGACAUUCUAGAUAUUGGAGUAAAUAAAAUCUUUUCUUAAGAGCAAACUCAGCCGACUUUGGACACAUGGGGUAAUUGUGCAUUUAUGACCAGAAUUAUUUCUAGAUGGCUGGAUUUGAAUUGAGAUUUUCUUUUCAUGUAUUAGGUGUAUAAAUGAAUAAAAAGAUGUUUCC